AGGUGGUGCAUGGUUGUCGUCAGCUCGUGUCGUGAGAUGUUGGGUUAAGUCCCGCAACGAGCGCAACCCCUACGUUUAGUUGCUAACGCGUGAAGGCGAGCACUCUAGACGAACUGCCGUUGACAAAACGGAGGAAGGUGGGGAUGACGUCAAAUCAUCAUGCCCCUUAUGUUCUGGGCUACACACGUGCUACAAUGGCCGGUACAGACGGACGCAAAGCCGCGAGGUGGAGCAAAUCCUAAAAAGCCGGUCUCAGUUCGGAUUGCAGGCUGCAAUUCGCCUGCAUGAAGUCGGAAUCGCUAGUAAUCGCAGGUCAGCAUACUGCGGUGAAUACGUUCCCGGGCCUU
rnacentral:rRNA from 1 species